GGGCCCGCACAAGCGGCGGAGCAUGCGGAUUAAUUCGAUGCAACGCGAAGAACCUUACCAAGGCUUGACAUGAACCGGAAAUACCUGGAAACAGGUGCCCCGCUUGCGGUCGGUUUACAGGUGGUGCAUGGUUGUCGUCAGCUCGUGUCGUGAGAUGUUGGGUUAAGUCCCGCAACGAGCGCAACCCUCGUUCUAUGUUGCCAGCGCGUUAUGGCGGGGACUCAUAGGAGACUGCCGGGGUCAACUCGGAGGAAGGUGGGGACGACGUCAAAUCAUCAUGCCCCUUAUGUCUUGGGCUUCACGCAUGCUACAAUGGCCGGUACAAUGGGUUGCGAUACUGUGAGGUGGAGCUAAUCCCAAAAAGCCGGUCUCAGUUCGGAUUGGGGUCUGCAACUCGACCCCAUGAAGUCGGAGUCGCUAGUAAUCGCAGAUCAGCAACGCUGCGGUGAAUACGUUCCCGGGCCUUGUACACACCGCCCGUCAAGUCACGAAAGUUGGUAACACCCGAAGCCGGUGGCCUAACCCCUAGUGGGAGGGAGCCGUCGAAGGUGGGACCGGCGAUUGGGACU
rnacentral:rRNA from 1 species